rnacentral:lncRNA from 1 species
UCCCUUUGACCCAUUAUUGCAGACUUUAAAAACAAGCAUGUUUUCAAAUGGUACUGUGAGCUGCCAAUGAUGUAUCGCCCCACAUCUCAUUAUUCUCCCCUAAAUGCGAUAAUAAUGUGAUCUGUUAACAUAAAAAGUUUGGCUCCGCAGAAGCAGCUGGAAAUGGACAACCACAAUAUGCAUAAACCCGGCGUUUACCAUCGGCUGCACACUGCUCGACACAUAUUGUUAGAGGCACCUCACAUUGGUGGGUCUCGUAAGCAAAAUACUUGCAUUAGGUCUCAGCUGGCGCUGGGCAUCAGACAGUUUGGGAAAUGUGCAAUUCUCAGCAGAAGCCGGCAUACACGUCCGCACAUCUUUUAGGAAUUGAUUAUGAGGUCUGUGAGGACGGAGGCAGCUCAGGUG